rnacentral:rRNA from 1 species
CCUUGACGUUCCUAACAGAAAAGCCCCGGCUAAAUACGCGCCAGCACACCGCGGUAAAAAUAGGUGGCAAACGUUGUCCGGAAUUAUUGGGCGUAAAACGCGCGCAGGGUGGUUUUUUUAAUUCGAUGGGAAAGCCCCCCGGUCACCCCGUGGAGGGUCAUUGGAAAACGGGGACCUGAGUGCAAAAAGGAAAAUGGAAUUUCCAAGUGUAGCGGGGAAAACGUAGAUAUUUGGAGGAACACCCCGGGGGAAGGGGACUUUUUGGUUUGUAAAUGACCCUGAGGGGCGAAAACGUGGGGAGCAAACAGGAUUAGAUACCCUGUUAUUCCCCGCCGUAAACGAUGAGUUUUAAGUGUUAGAGGGUUUUCCCCCUUUAGUGUUGCAAGUAACCCCUUAAACCCUCCCCCUGGGGAGUUCGGUCCCAAAACUGAAACUCAAAGGAAUUGACGGGGGCCCCCCCAAACGGGGGAGCAUGUGGUUUAAUUUGAAGCAACGCGAAAAACCUUUCCCGGUUUUGACAUCCUUUGACAACCCUAGAGAUAGGGCUUUCCCCUUCGGGGGCCAGAGUGCCAGGUGGUGCAUGGUUGUCGUCAGUUCGUGUCGUGAGAUGUUGGGUUAAGUCCCGCAACGAGCGCAACCCUUGUUUUUAGUUGCCACCAUUCAGUUGGCCACUUUAAGAUGACUCCCGGUGCCAACCCGGAGGAAGGUGGGGAUGACGUCAAAUCAUCAUGCCCCUUAUGACCUGGGUUCCACACGUGUUCCAAUGGACGGUACAAAGGGCAGCGAGACCGCGAGGUUUAGCCAUUCCCAUAAACCCGUUUUCAGUUCGGAUUGCAGGCUGCAAUUCCCCUCCAUGAAGCUGGAAUCGUUAGUAAUCGGGGAUCACCAUGCCGCGGGGAAUCGGUUCCCGGCCCUUGUCCACCCCGCCCGUCCCACCACGAGAGUUGUAACAGAAGAAGUCGGGAGGAAUAAGUUGGACCAGGAACCCACAGAGUUU